AGAUUGAACGCUGGCGGCAUGCCUAACACAUGCAAGUCGAACGGGAGUAGCAAUACUCUAGUGGCGGACGGGUGAGGAAUACGUAGGAAUUUGCCCUUAAGUGGGGGAUAACCCGGGGAAACCCGGAUUAAUACCGCAUGACCUCGAAAGAGCAAAGUGGGGGGAUCGCAAGACCUCACGCUUUUGGAGAAGCCUACGUCGGAUUAGCUAGUUGGUGAGGUAAUGGCUCACCAAGGCGACGAUCCGUAACUGGUCUGAGAGGAUGAUCAGUCACACCGGAACUGAGACACGGUCCGGACUCCUACGGGAGCAGCAGUGGGGAAUA
rnacentral:rRNA from 1 species